CGAGGGGACAUAGCGUUUGGCCCACCGGCAUCCCCGCCGGCGGGUGACGAGGUGGCGGUUUAUCGACGAUCAACGGAUGCCGCCCGGGGGGCGUUCACCCUCCCGUGUACUCCCUCCCCAAUCCAAGCGACGGCUCAAACCCCACGGGCAACCGUGGAUCCAACCCCGCCGCGCGUGAACAU
rnacentral:ncRNA from 2 species